rnacentral:rRNA from 1 species
UACGUAGGGGGCAAGCGUUAUCCGGAUUUACUGGGUGUAAAGGGAGCGUAGACGGUUAUGCAAGUCAGAAGUGAAAGCCCAAAGCUCAACUUCGGGACUGCUUUUGAAACUGUGUAACUAGAGUGCAGGAGGGGUAAGCGGAAUUCCUAGCGUAGCGGUGAAAUGCGUAGAUAUUAGGAGGAACACCGGCGGCGAAGGCGGCUUACUGGACUGUAACUGACGUUGAGGCUCGAAAGCGUGGGGAGCAAACAGG